rnacentral:rRNA from 1 species
GGCAGAGGUGCCGAGCGUUAGGCGGAAUCACUGGGCUUAAAGCGUGUGUAGGCGGAUCGUUAAGUACCUUGUGAAAUCCCACGGCUUAACCGUGGAACUGCUGGGUAUACUGGCGAUCUUGAGCCACCUAGGGGCAACCGGAACAAAUGGUGGAGCGGUGAAAUGCGUAGAUAUCAUUUGGAACACCAAUGGUGAAAACAGGUUGCUGGGGGUGUGCUGACGCUGAGACACGAAAGCCAGGGGAGCGAACGGG